ACUCUUACGGGAGGCAGCAGUGGGGAAUAUUGGACAAUGGGGGAAAGCCUGAUGCAGCAACGCCGUGUAAGUGAUGAAGGCGUUCAGGGUCGUAAAGCUCUUUGAUCAGGGACGAUAAUGACGGUACCUGAAAAACAAGCCACGGCUAACUACGUGCCAGCAGCCGCGGUAAUAC
rnacentral:rRNA from 1 species